AGUUGUUUGGGAUUGCAGCUCAAAAUGGGAGGUAAAUCUCUCCUAAGGCUAAAUAUCGGCGAGAGACCGAUAGCGAACAAGUACCGUGAGGGAAAGAUGAAAAGAACUUUGAAAAGAGAGUAAAAUAGUACGUGAAAUUGUUGAAAGGGAAACGAUUGAAGUCAGUCGUACCGACGAGAAAUCAACUUAUCGUGUGCGAACUUGUGGGCGUGCGUGAGUUUCGGCCUCGCUGUUUGCAUGUUUGUGCAUUUUGGGUGUACUUUUUCGUAUGGUAGGCCAACGUCAGUUUCGAUCAUCAUAAAAUGACUGGCGGAAUGUAGCUUCGAUUUCGGUUGAAGUGUUAUAGCCUCUGGUAGAUGUGGUGAUUGGGACUGAGGAUUGCAACGAAUAUCCUUUGGGCUAUCCGUCUGAUCUCUGAAAGUUGCUCAGGUGCCGAAAGCGUGCUUACGGUCAUCUAAGUUGACGGUCAACAGGUUAGAACGUGAUUACA
rnacentral:rRNA from 1 species